AAGCAAUGAUGGGUGCAUAUUCUCAAUAGCUCCUUCUACAUCUCCUAAGCAUCAUAAAUGCUCUCAGAUUCCAUCUGAGUGAAAGAAGAGAUAUCAUUCCACAACUU